UCCAGAGUCCUGGGAAAGGAAGGAGGAUGGCCAUGGUGGUGGGUAACACUGGCUUUUACCAAUCGGUAUAGGAGUUUGAUACUUUAACAAAUGGAUAAUGAUCAGCUCUGCCUAGAACAUGCAAGUGAGGACAUAGCAAGAAGGCAGAUGUCUGCCAGGAAGAGAGCUCUCACCAGAAGCUGACCCCACGGGACAUUAAUCUGGGACUUGCAGCCUCCAGAACUGAAGUCGUAUGGCAUGUAAAUAAAUGCCUGAAAAUUGCACGAGCUGAAGAUGUCCGAUCUGAAUAUUAGCUUAUAAACAACACUUCAUUUUGCAAGGCACC